UACGGAGGGUGCAAGCGUUAUCCGGAUUCACUGGGUUUAAAGGGUGCGUAGGCGGGCAGAUAAGUCAGUGGUGAAAUACCUGAGCUUAACUUGGGAACUGCCAUUGAUACUAUUUGUCUUGAAUGUUGUGGAGGUUAGCGGAAUAUGUCAUGUAGCGGUGAAAUGCUUAGAGAUGACAUAGAACACCUAUUGCGAAAGGCGCUAACUACGCAAAUAUUGACGCUGAGGCACGAAAGCGUGGGGAUCAAACAGG
rnacentral:rRNA from 1 species